rnacentral:rRNA from 1 species
GACGAACGCUGGCGGCGUGCUUAACACAUGCAAGUCACGGGGGCGUCGCAAGGGCGAACCGGCGAACGGGUGCGUAACACGUGAGCAACUUACCGAUUUGUGGGGGAGUAGCCGGCCCAACGGCCGGGUAAUACCGCAUACGCUCUUUGGGUGGAGUCACCUGAAGAGGAAACCUCCGGGGCGAAAUCGAGGGGCUCGCGGCCUAUCAGCUAGUUGGUGCGGGUAACGGCCCACCAAGGCGAUGACGGGGUAGCUGGUCUGAGAGGAUGGCCAGCCACAUUGGGAC